rnacentral:lncRNA from 1 species
AGACACUUUUUCAGAAAUCUUGGAUCUAUACUGGCCUAUGCCUUCUUGGGGACUGCUGUUUCAUGCUUCAUUAUUGGAAAUCUCAUGUAUGGUGUGGUGAAGCUCAUGAAGAUUAUGGGACAGCUCUCAGAUAAAUUUUACUACACAGAUUGUCUCUUUUUUGGAGCAAUCAUCUCUGCCACUGACCCAGAUCAUCUCUGAAGCCAAGCAUGUUUCCAAAGAGAACUCUG